UUACCUACGGGAGGCAGCAGUGGGGAAUAUUGCGCAAUGGGCGAAAGCCUGACGCAGCGACGCCGCGUGAGGGAUGAAGGUCUUCGGAUCGUAAACCUCUGUCAGCAGGGAAGAACGGUCACUGUGCUAAUCAGCAGUGAAUUGACGGUACCUGCAAAGGAAGCACCGGCUAACUCCGUGCCAGCAGCCGCGGUAAUACGGAGGGUGCGAGCGUUAAUCGGAAUUACUGGGCGUAAAGCGCACGUAGGCUGUAUGUCAAGUCAAGGGUGAAAUCCCACGGCUCAACCGUGGAACUGCCUUUGAAA
rnacentral:rRNA from 1 species